UACGAAGGGGGGCUAGCGUUGCUCGGAAUCACUGGGCGUAAAGCGCACGUAGGCGGAUUGCUAAGUCAGGGGGUGAAAUCCUGGAGCUCAACUCCAGAACUGCCUUUUGAUACUGGCGACCUUGAGUCCGGGAGAGGUGAGUGGAACUGCGAGUGUAGAGGUGAAAUUCGUAGAUAUUCGCAAGAACACCAGUGGCGAAGGCGGCUCACUGGCCCGGUACUGACGCUGAGGUGCGAAAGCGUGGGGAGCAAACAGG
rnacentral:rRNA from 1 species